AUUCUAGGAUGAAAGGAGGAGGCAUACCAUAGGUCAUGUAAGAUGGACACGGCAGGAAAUGUGGUCGGCUUGGUAGAUAUGGCAAUAAAACUUGUGCGACACAUACUCCAAGUGAGGGAAGAGCUUAAAAAUGCACCACUCAAGCUGCAAGAUCUAGUCUCUUGUGUAGAUCAUGCGGGGAGCUUGUUACUGGAUCUUCAAGCAGCAGGUGAGUCUGGCCCUAUCACCCGGGUGAGAUCAGUCGUCAUAGAGGAGCUUGGAAAGGAAUUGGCAGCCGCGAAUGUGAAGAUUCAAAGAUUUACUGGCUCGACCAAGAGUGGGAACUUGGAUGCCGGUGUGUUGAAGGCAUUUUUUGGACAAGGGCUUGUCAAGCAAAACCGACGCACUAAAGAGAUCACUGCUCGGAUCAAGGACCAGCUCACGACUUUGAAUCAUGCACUCACUGUGGAGACUCGCCUUGCUGUGAUCACAGCCUCGAGUUUUUGCUCGCCGAGACAGAGACCUGGAAUUGUGCAGCUUCUGGAUAGGCUUGCUGUGGAGAAUGCGGAUGACGAGGUGUGCAGGGUGGCUCUGGAGAUUGGAGGAAAAUUUGGGUCGAAGUUUUCGUCUAGAACUCCAGAAUCUAAUGACUUGAAAAGGGCGGCCCGAGAGGGAGGUUAUGAGAUCGAAAACUCUACCAAGAUCAGGUUUGAGAUAUCGGUGGAUGAAGACGACUACUUUUUCUAUGUUGUCACCUUACAUGAGAAGAGAGUGGAGAAGGAAGAGGAGCUUGAGAAAGGGCAUUAGCAUCAGCCAUAAAACUCCUUGAAACUUGAUACAAUUGCUUGAUGCUAUACAUUUGCAAUUGAACAACCAAACUCAGUUGAUGGUGGCAUUCAUAACACGUGGUACAACUCUGAUUGCACCAAAGCAUUGGUUGAGCUGUUUUAUCCGAAUCACUCUUUAGCCAACCAUAGCCUCAACAGGCAAGGUUCAAGCAAGCAUAAGUUUGUAGCACUUCCUGAGACACUCCCUAACAUUUUGUAUUGCAUUACAGCAAGUUCAAGCGAUGUUUUCCAGACCAAGUGAAAAGUAGGCGUGAUCCCAUAAGUUUCCGCAUUGAGAGCUCUGAUCCCAGCUUCACACAAGUUGAGCAGCAGAUUGUUUACAUUGUUUUCGCAGGGGUGAAACUACAUGAAGGUUUCUUCUCAAAGUUCUUUUUUCUUAUCGCUUUCUAAACUGUUUUGUCUUCCACAGAUGAACCACACAGAGCGCUAGAGAUGAAAGAUAUCCAGGAUAACAUCAACAUCUCAAGCAAAAUAAUUGUCAGGAAAUACAUCUUUGACAUCAUGCCAGUGUAAUUACGAAUUCGACAUUGCAGUGUUUAGUCUAGUUGGGCUGGAGCUUAAGCUUCCUCAGCCAAACUUAUUCUCAAUGUGGGACUUCCUAGAGCAACCAGAGGAGCCCAGAAGCGGAUGGGCUUUCCAGAAUCGAUCAACUUGAGCAUCGAAAACCUCACGGCCUCGACAAUGGUAUGUUGCUUGUUAAGCUCUUCAAACACACCUGUGCAACAAAGUAAGAAACGAUACGAAAAGGAAAAGUUUUGAUACCAGUCAUGAGUUGCAGUGUGGCAGCAUCGUCCACUUUCCACAGCGUGACAAGCACACACGCCGCACCAGCCUGCAACACUGCUCGCCCGAGCCCCAGCAAUCCCUCGCUGGUAACCACGCCAUCGCCCGUUUGACAAGCGCUCAGAACCACGAGACGAGCCGCGAUGCCCUUCUCCAGCCGCUCAAUCUCCUUGGCAGUGAGAACUUGAUCGUGGAGCACAGCUUGUUGCUUCAAAGCAAGAUCGACCUCUCGGCGGAGGCUGCUCGUCACACCCACUGUAAGCUCGUUGAAUCCUUGCUGCUGGUUUUGCCCUUGCAUGACCAAGGCACCGUGAGGAUAAGCCGGGCUCACCAGCCCGUGAGUUGCGAGCACGGCUACACGCACGGACGCGCUAGACAGCGCUUGCAUGACGGAGCUCUUUGUCAUGGCUGCGCCGACUAACGCAUCCACGCCGAGCUGCUUGGCAAUCUCCUCGGCUUCUUUCCUCGCACCUGGAAGUUGAGGCUGAUCGAGACCCAUUGGCUCCGGAUCCCCAGCAACGAAGAAAGAUGGCUCGUCGAUAUGAUCGUGGUGAUGAUCUUGGUGGAGCUGGCAACGUCGCAGAGCUCGGAUGGAAGGGAUGACUCCCACAUUCUUCUUCUCGACGAGGAACUGGCCUUCGGAUCCAUCGUAUAGUGCGGCAAACGGGACGAGUGACAUGGUUCCUUGCGGAGCAAAGAUGACGGUGUCAUGGGGCUCGAUGUGCUCCCAAACAGGCAGGACAGUGAGCUUGUAGAGAAUCCCCAGCGCCACCUUUGCCUCUGCCUCGUGGCUCUCGCGUUGAAUCACUGUUCUGGCCUUCCUGAUGAGCGCGUCUAGAUUUCCACCCAUCACCUUGUUUUCCUUGGAAGCAAAGAAUUCCUGCAAGCGGACGCGCUUGAAGCGGACAGUGAAAUCCUCCCCUGCUGUGGAAUGCACAACGUAGAUGAGCAGUGAAGAGAGUGGAUGGUUUGCCGAGAAUGCAUACUCCACCACCACGGAGUUAUAGCCAGCUUUCGCAACAGCCUCUUUGAUGCAGCUUGCAGCGUGGUGAUCGUCCUUGUCAAAUGCCAAAGGGUCCAGUAACUUUGGACUUGCGGGAGUGGAGUUUCUAAGAGCUUGGUCUGCCAAGUGAAAGUACAAUCUCAUGCGACUCCUCUCGGCCCACAAGAGUGCAUCCACGAAACUGUUUGCCUCCGAUGAGAUCCUUUGCAUGAAAUAGUAUAUGUGCUUCAUAUCGUCAUCCAGAAGAGUCACCCAAGCAGACUCCAUGUUUUGCAGCUUCAUCUGGACGUCCGCAAACAGGAGAGCUGCUUCACGAGCUUCCGAGGCCGACUCCUCCAUUCUUCCCUCUGUCGCGAGUAUAGAAGCCCGAAUGCGUUUGAUCUUUCCCAUGAGCAGUGCAUCGUCACUGCUUACCAGGCUCGUAGCACUGUCCAGCUUAAGCAUAGCAACGCUGUAGUUUUUCAUGUGGAAGUGAACCACUGCUUCCCCGGCAUAAGCUCUCACAAGAUCUUGCAGGUUCCACUCGCCGAAUCUCCGCAUGAUUUGUACUGCUCGAUCGUACUCAGCCAGCGCUUUCUCGAAGGAGGCCAUAGCCGGGACAGGAUUGCCUUUGCGUUGUUGCUCAGCUCCUCUGUCAUUGAACACUCCUGCGCGGUUGAUAUAAACCUGUGCCGCAUGUAUCGAUAUGUCGUCGGGAAUCUCUUCCAGAGCCUGAUCAAACUUGUCAAGAGCCGAAUCCAAGUCUCCCAUCUUUCUAUAUGCGUAAGCCAGAGAACUUAGCGUGGAGUACCUGAGCAUCCAGUCCUUCGAGGCUUCGAGCAAGUCUGUUAGCGUCUUUACGGACGCCUCAUUGUCUCCGAGGAGCCGGUUUGCAACGCCGUGGUAGAGCAUCAAGUAAGCGUCUUCGCCACACUUGCUCUGGAACCGGCUGGCCAGCUCGAAAGCAGCGCUGAAACGGUUGCUUUGGACGUAACACAGGAAGAGCAUCGAGUACACCGCGCCCAGGCGAGUGUCUGCAAAGCGCUCCCUCGCUUCCAAAGUUUCCUUUGCGGUUUCCAGCGUCGCUUGAGCUUGGACGUUGUUUCCAAGCGCAAACAGGCACUGCCCGACUCCCAACAUAACAUCCACUCUCAGAUCCCAGUCCGUCUCCAGCAAAGCCGCGUGCUCCGCUUGAAUGCGGCCAAACAUCUCGAAAGCUCUCACCAUAUCCAAGCACGACUUCACCUCGAGGCAGCAAGAGAUGUACGAAGAAACCUUGUCUCUCUCCGUUGGAGCCAAUAAAGUGCACUGCUCAAACCUCUGCAAGGCCUUAUCGUGCUCCGACCUCCGGGAGAGCAGCAUUCCCAUCGCAUGCUGGAACCGAAAAAGUAGCUUUGUCUCGUCCCCUGGCAGCAAACUAAUCCCCCUGUCCAAGUACUCGUAAGCAUCGUCUAGCGAGCCACGGGAGAGCAUAACCACGCCAAGCAGCCCGUAUGCUUCGCCCGUGAGAACUUGCAUGGAGCGUGGAAGAACCAUCUGAGCACCACCAUCCUCAUCGCACUCACCAAAAAACUCGGAUAUCACCCUGCCGUGCUGCUGGACGAGGAGACAAUUUAGCAGCCAGGCAUUCGCACUCGCAAGCCGCCUGGCUUGCAGCUGCAAAUCUCCCUGGAUUCGAAGUGCCGCUUUCAAGCUCCACACCAAGCAAUCCACAGCCUGGUCACAGUCACUGCAAUGUUCCAAUGCAAAACAACCUGCAGCCCACCAGCCAAAGCUCUCCACUCCAAAAAUCUCCGCUUCUCCGGCGGCCAGUGCCAUCUCCCGGAGAGAUCCCACUGCCUGCUUGUACUCUUUUCGAUCCAUGUAAACGAAUCCAAGCAACGUGUAUCCGUUGAAUUGCCGCCCGCCACCCAAGCUGACGCAUGCAUUGGCAUGCUCCAAGGCCAAGUCAAGUUCCCCUAAGCGGCGGUACGCGUCACCUAGGAAGCUGUGCACCACCGCGGCGUGGUAGAUGAUAUGCGGUGCGAGCCCCGCUUUGAGAUACUCCACUGCGCUGCCAAACUCUCCUUUGUCAAACAGCAGCCAGCCCAGCUCGAACUUGCCCCGCUCCACGAUAUUCAGCUGGAAAAACUCAUUCAGAUCGUCACCCAGAUGAUCUUGCGCCAGUCUCAGUCCUGCCUCAAGAUCCGCCUUCGCGGAUUCCACCUCUUUCAUACCGGAUCUGAGCAGGAUGCCUCUCUCGAUCAAGGCCAGGACUUGCACCCUAACAUUCUCCUGGCUUGCAGCUCGCUCUUGCAUCGAUUCGAAUAACAGAAUGGCGUCGUUGACUCUGUCCAGAUGAACCAUGGCAUAAGCCAUCUUGGCGCAGAUGGAGAGAUCGAUCUUGCUGCUACUGCUGCUGCAACUGCAAAGGCUUACCCCGCAUUGCUCCUCGAGGCGUUGCACUGCCGACUCAAUCUCCAGCUUGAGCUGCCCAGUUGCAGGGCUAUAGGCCGGAAGUGGGAUGACACUCAAGAAGUGAUCUAUUGCUUCCAUGAUCGUGCUUGCCCUACAGAUGGACUACCCUCACUGUAAGACCAGUUCCACCAUCUUUUGACUUUUCAAUUCAAUGUACCUUUUGAGCUCACCGGAUGAUGUUUUGAAGAUAAUCCAGCCACGCGACUCAAGCGUCCCAAAACAGGCAAAAACACUUGGCUCUAAAGGCAAAAGCUUCGAAUUCCCUGGAUGAUUUUAUCUCCAUCCAAAGUCUAAAGCCCAGUACUGCGCUCUUUCGUCUAGCUCGAGACCAAAAUGAACCAGCUGCGAGAGUAACAACACGGUCAUGGAAUGCAUCCCGAUUUGUAGAGAUAAAUGCUGACGUUCUAUUUUCAAAGAAUCAUUGGGCGUUCCCUCCAUGUCCAUGCUAACACUUUCUGCCUGGACGCCCUUGACCUCCACCCCAUCUAGCUCCUUCACAAGAAUGUGCCUCCCGCUUGAGCAAAGACUUGCAAUGGCUCGCCAUUGCAGUGCCAAACACAACUCUCCUUUCGUGCUCUAAUUGAUGAGUGGAAGGAGCAGGGGAAUCUUAAAGAAAAAAGUGGUAAAUAUGCUAAACAACUCAUUAGAGAUAACAUAACGAUUUCUUUAGGCUAAGGGAUACACUGUCAAGACAUGAUGCAGCUGCAGGCCUGGUUCAGAUGCGCGUACACUCAGUGCUUCUUUACGUGCAACGUAUGCGUGUCUAUGGUUUGUGUUGAUCGUCUCAUCACGCAUAUUUUACCGCAGGAGUAUGGCACCUUUGAGUCCGAUUGAAAUAAGCUCCCUGGAUCUUGGCAAGCAUGUCAAUCCUCCGUCUUGCCACAAGUGGAAGAAGACGUACAAUAAGGAGUACGUGCUUGGGCAGCUCAUAUCCUGGUUCAAGCAGACAUGCGCUGAUCCUGGUGCCAGCCUUGUACAGCAACGAUGCUCCCGGAUUUCUCGUCCUGCUACGCCAAGGGCUUGCAGCAAGAUUCUCGGCGUGGGUACGGAUCCAGGUUUCGAGAAGAAAUGUUCCCGCGAUGGUACGCUCGAUGGUCUCUCGUUUCUCUGUGGCUAACUUGGUUCUUGUUGUGCAGGAGCGCUGGCCUCAAAAGCAGUGGCCAAAGUCACAGUUUUGGGAGUUCAAGAGUAACAGAGGGCUGUUUGGGAGUCCAAUGCUGGAUGCCGUGCAGCGAUGCGGUUAUCCAGACUCGGAGAUGAUGCAUUGGCUCAAGACGAGGCCCGUUAACUUUGAAGGCCCCUACGACGAUUGAGAAAGAAGAGCGAGCAGGGACGAAAAACAAAGGAAAGAGAAGGGAAGGAGCCACAUCUUGUUUUACGAUGAUUAGCUCAUCGCGGUGGCUAAUCAUCCUAAAACCUUUUUACUUUUCAAUCUUUACUGACUUAAAUGUUUCACAAUGGCUCGAAUAAUUCCAUUCCGUGUUGACUUCCACUGGAAUUCAAAGUGGAGGAGGCAUACCAUAGGUUUUGUAAGAUGGACAUGGCAGGAAGUGUGGUCGGCUUGGUAGAUCUGGCAAUAAAACUUGUGCAACACAUACUCCAAGUCAGGGAAGAGCUUAAAAAUGCACCACUCAAGCUGCAAGAUCUAGUCUCUUGUGUAGAUCAUGCGGGGAGCUUGUUACUGGAUCUUCAAGCAGCAGGUGAGUCUGGCCCUAUCACCCGGGUGAGAUCAGUCGUCAUAGAGGAGCUUGGAAAGGAAUUGGCAGCCGCGAAUGUGAAGAUUCAAAGAUUUACUGGCUCGACCAAGAGUGGGAACUUGGAUGCCCGUGUGUUGAAGGCAUUUCUUGGACAAGGGCUUGUCAAGCAAAACCGACGCACUGAAGAGAUCACUGCUCGGAUCAAAGAGCACCUCACGACUUUGAAUCAUGCACUCACUGUGGAGACUCGCCUUGCUGUGUUCACAGCCUCGAGUUCUUGCUCGCCAAGACAGAGACCUGGAAUUGUGCAGCUUCUGGAUAGGCUUGCUGUGGAGAAUGCGGAUGAC
rnacentral:lncRNA from 1 species